rnacentral:misc_RNA from 1 species
AACGCACAUUGCGCCCCUUGGUAUUCCAUGGGGCAUGCCUGUUCGAGCGUCAUCUAAACCCUCAAGCCCUAUAGGUGUUGUCCCGCCUCGUGCGCGGCCUCCGCCUGGCUUGGUGUUGGGUGCCUGUUCCUGCUCCCCGCAUGGACUCACCCUAAAUGCAUUGGCAGCAGCCCCUCGGCUUCUCGCGCAGCACAUUGCGCAGCGGAGCAUAGAGAGGCGUGCGUCCAGCAAGCGAAUCACCGAAUUUGACCUCGGAUCAGGUAGGGAUACCCGCUGAACUUAA